CUAUAAAAGAUGUAACAGAUGCAAACUGCAAAGCAAGGGCGCUUAACCCUUGCUCUUCUGAACCAAUUCCAUCCUUCACCUCUUUUGUCUGUCCCCUUUUUAUUUCUCUACUAGGCUUUUGCCAUCUAGGAA
rnacentral:sRNA from 1 species